UUAAUUCGCAGCAAGUAGUGAUGGUAGAAUGCCCGUAGUGGAAGAGAACACACACAAGCGAAAUCGUGUAAAUAGUUGCUUUCCCUUUGCACUCAACUGACACUGAGUCAUUCAGUUAUGUGAGUAUUUUACACUCAGAUAAAAUGUCAAUUGUUCAAUGAAUAAAAGGAAUCUGCAAGUGAUAUUGAAGGUUUAUAACCUUACUUUUGUAUGUGAGUCUAGACUCACUAAAGCACACGGUCUCGAUCGUGUGCAGAAACUCAGUUGAAUCUCACUUUCUCAGCAUCAAAAGGAACAUGCAUUCAAUUGAGUUAUGACGACAUAAGUGAGAAUUAUCUGAAUUUUGAUAUAAAUGGAAAGCAACUCAUGUGAUGCGUAAAGCACUCUGUAGGUUGCGUGUUGCUAGCGUGGACAUUCUGGCAUCACUGCAUGCAAGUCUGUGCCGGUUCAUUGUGCAAUGAGCAGCGAAAAGUGAAGAAGUUAAAACGCGGUCUUAAAAUAAUCGCAUUAAAAAGUAUUUUUGUGAAGUUUGUGAUAUUUGUGUUCAUUAUGAUCAUGCCAGAUAAUAACGAUGACAUGAUUGUCGUUAUGAUGAUUCCUGAUAUUUUAAAGACAUCUUGAUCAUGAUCAAUCUUGAUCAAUCGACGCAUCGGCGUUUCAAAAUAAAAUAUUAACGAUUUUAAAAAUAUCAUGUAUUAAUGACAGAAAAGAGAAUAAUCCUAUUCCUUCUUCAUCUAAAUCAGAUACUUCAAAUUUAUCAUUCGAAAAUAUUCAAGAAACAAAUAUAUCAAAAAAUAUAUCUUCAAAAAAAAAAAGGAGUUGAGAGAAUAAUGAACCCAAUGUAAUACGAGGUGAGCAACUUUGACUUCUUUUAAGUUAAUCUGCUAUGGGCAGAUGUAUAUUGCAACUAGCGAAGCAAGGCCCUUGCUUGAAACAGGAUAAGGAUAGAAACAAAUUAACAGAAAUUAUUAUUGAAGAUGAAUUAAGCAAAUCUGAAAAAAUGUUUAUAUUUCUCUUUUCUAAGAAUUUCAACUGCUGGCUUCGCUGAACUUGUAAGUGCUAUACAACAUAUAUUUCUUGAAGAAGAUAGUGAUCUUUAUUUUAUUUCAUACAAAUAUUCAAAUGGAAGGAAACUUUUGGCUAAAAGCAAAUUAAUUACAGAAUACUAUUCUAUUCAAAAGGAAUUCAAAGCACUCGGUAUUAUUAAUCAAAACAAGGAUUAAUUAGAUUCUGAGACUCAAAACUCUCAAGAUGAUUUAGAAGAUGAUGUCUACAAGAAAAGCUUAACUUUCUUGAAGAGAACAUAGAGCCUUGGUCAAUAGUAGAGUAUUGGACGGACACUUCUAAACUAAGAAUUGCAAAAUUACAUGCUAAAUCUCGGUUUACAAACAAAAAUAAAGGCAAAGAUAAUAACAAAAGAAAUGCUAAUGUUAAAAGUAAGCUUAAAAGCAAAACAAUUCCAGAAAUCGCACAAGUAGAACAAGAAAAGAAAGAAGUGGAGAAUAUUUUAACUUAUAUGAAUAAAUACCCCACUCUAAAGGAAAAACUUGGAUACACUUUGCUUAAUAUAUAUAAUAAUAUUUAUUGCUCUGCAUUUUAUGGCAUGAUAAAUUCGAUUUAAAUACGAAAUUUUUUAUUUCAGUUUGAAAUAGAUUUUGAUUUAUUAUAUCCUGAUUUACUAUAUCCUGACCAAAAACUUAAGGCUUACAACUCUUACCAAGAUUUUUUUGAUCGAAUUAUACAAGCUCUCAAAAACAAAGAAAGUAAAUAUGAGGCCUUAAAAGAUAAUUUGUUAUUUCUAACAAGUGAUGAGAUUUCAGAAGGUAAUGUUAAGGAUGAUUUUAUUUUCAUUGACAUUUUUUUUCUUGUAUUAUUUUUUAGGUUUAAAGUUAUUGUCACACUCUGUUAUUUGACACAGUUGUGACUGUUGCCUGCCAUCUGGCAAUGUCCUUUCAUGUACAAUGUAUAGUGAACAUUUUCAUGCUUAUAAUGUUACCAAACUGUCAAAGUAAUAUCAAUUUUACCAACCUUUUAUAUUAUUUACCCGUUAUUUUGUAAAGGCAAUGAUGGAAAGCAAUAUGUUAUAUUGCAUCAUUUACUUUAACAACUUAAGAAAUAUAUAAUAAAGCACUCUCUCUUAUUUAUUGUUAUAAGAAGUUAUAUUUAUAUAGUUUUAGUUAUAAUAUAUUAAUUAUAGUUAUAAUAUAUUAAUAUAUUAGUUAUUUAGUUGCAAAUAAACUUUAUUCUUUAUAAUAA